AGUGGAAGUGAUUUAGCUUGUGAAAAUCUGAGAAGUGCAGCGGAGAAGACAAAGAUAAUGGCGAUGACGAGGAAACUGAACUUAGAGUUUGCCAUUAUUGAAGAGGAGCUUGAGCUUUACUUCUUCACCAUCUGGUUCUGGUUCAGCUACAGAUUCUUGCAUUAUCUUCUGGGAUUAUUUAAAAGAAAAAAAAUCUUUUUUCUUGAAUUGAAUUCUCGGUGGGUUUGAAUAUUUGAUUUGGGUUUUGCUUGUUCACUCAAUAGAUCUGCAGCGAGAAGAAGCAAGAAUCCGUGAAUCCAAAGUAGUAGCUGUAAGUGUGAUUUGUGGUUUCUCCUUAGCCGUUUCCUUUUUGAUGAUGUAAAUGCCGCUGGGCAUGUAAAUUAUCGAAAGUGACCUUGUGGAGCAGAGAAGCUCUUAUGUUUGUGUUCUGUGAGGCUUCUGUGUUUAUGGUAACUUCACAAGAUUGACUGGCUCCUUGUCGACCUUAUAAGAUGGUUCUUCAAGAUUUCAGUCACAGCCUG
rnacentral:misc_RNA from 1 species